rnacentral:rRNA from 1 species
AGCCCAGAGCCUGAAUCAGUGUGUGUGUUAGUGGAAGCGUCUGGAAAGGCGCGCGAUACAGGGUGACAGCCCCGUACACAAAAAUGCACAUACUGUGAGCUCGAUGAGUAGGGCGGGACACGUGGUAUCCUGUCUGAAUAUGGGGGGACCAUCCUCCAAGGCUAAAUACUCCUGACUGACCGAUAGUGAACCAGUACCGUGAGGGAAAGGCGAAAAGAACCCCGGCGAGGGGAGUGAAAAAGAACCUGAAACCGUGUACGUACAAGCAGUGGGAGCCUCUUAAUGGGGUGACUGCGUACCUUUUGUAUAAUGGGUCAGCGACUUAUAUUCUGUAGCAAGGUUAACCGAAUAGGGGAGCCGAAGGGAAACCGAGUCUUAACUGGGCGUUAAGUUGCAGGGUAUAGACCCGAAACCCGGUGAUCUAGCCAUGGGCAGGUUGAAGGUUGGGUAACACUAACUGGAGGACCGAACCGACUAAUGUUGAAAAAUUAGCGGAUGACUUGUGGCUGGGGGUGAAAGGCCAAUCAAACCGGGAGAUAGCUGGUUCUCCCCGAAAGCUAUUUAGGUAGCGCCUCGUGAAUUCAUCUCCGGGGGUAGAGCACUGUUUCGGCAAGGGGGUCAUCCCGACUUACCAACCCGAUGCAAACUGCGAAUACCGGAGAAUGUUAUCACGGGAGACACACGGCGGGUGCUAACGUCCGUCGUGAAGAGGGAAACAACCCAGACCGCCAGCUAAGGUCCCAAAGUCAUGGUUAAGUGGGAAACGAUGUGGGAAGGCCCAGACAGCCAGGAUGUUGGCUUAGAAGCAGCCAUCAUUUAAAGAAAGCGUAAUAGCUCACUGGUCGAGUCGGCCUGCGCGGAAGAUGUAACGGGGCUAAACCAUGCACCGAAGCUGCGGCAGCGACACUAUGUGUUGUUGGGUAGGGGAGCGUUCUGUAAGCCUGUGAAGGUGUACUGUGAGGUAUGCUGGAGGUAUCAGAAGUGCGAAUGCUGACAUAAGUAACGAUAAAGCGGGUGAAAAGCCCGCUCGCCGGAAGACCAAGGGUUCCUGUCCAACGUUAAUCGGGGCAGGGUGAGUCGACCCCUAAGGCGAGGCCGAAAGGCGUAGUCGAUGGGAAACAGGUUAAUAUUCCUGUACUUGGUGUUACUGCGAAGGGGGGACGGAGAAGGCUAUGUUGGCCGGGCGACGGUUGUCCCGGUUUAAGCGUGUAGGCUGGUUUUCCAGGCAAAUCCGGAAAAUCAAGGCUGAGGCGUGAUGACGAGGCACUACGGUGCUGAAGCAACAAAUGCCCUGCUUCCAGGAAAAGCCUCUAAGCAUCAGGUAACAUCAAAUCGUACCCCAAACCGACACAGGUGGUCAGGUAGAGAAUACCAAGGCGCUUGAGAGAACUCGGGUGAAGGAACUAGGCAAAAUGGUGCCGUAACUUCGGGAGAAGGCACGCUGAUAUGUAGGUGAAGUCCCUCGCGGAUGGAGCUGAAAUCAGUCGAAGAUACCAGCUGGCUGCAACUGUUUAUUAAAAACACAGCACUGUGCAAACACGAAAGUGGACGUAUACGGUGUGACGCCUGCCCGGUGCCGGAAGGUUAAUUGAUGGGGUUAGCGGUAACGCGAAGCUCUUGAUCGAAGCCCCGGUAAACGGCGGCCGUAACUAUAACGGUCCUAAGGUAGCGAAAUUCCUUGUCGGGUAAGUUCCGACCUGCACGAAUGGCGUAAUGAUGGCCAGGCUGUCUCCACCCGAGACUCAGUGAAAUUGAACUCGCUGUGAAGAUGCAGUGUACCCGCGGCAAGACGGAAAGACCCCGUGAACCUUUACUAUAGCUUGACACUGAACAUUGAGCCUUGAUGUGUAGGAUAGGUGGGAGGCUUUGAAGUGUGGACGCCAGUCUGCAUGGAGCCGGCCUUGAAAUACCACCCUUUAAUGUUUGAUGUUCUAACGUUGGCCCCUGAUCGGGGUUGCGGACAGUGUCUGGUGGGUAGUUUGACUGGGGCGGUCUCCUCCUAAAGAGUAACGGAGGAGCACGAAGG